rnacentral:rRNA from 1 species
GUGUCAGCCGCCGCGGUAAUACGGGGGGGGCAAGCGUUGUUCGGAAUUACUGGGCGUAAAGGGUCGGUAGGUGGCCAACUAAGUCAGACGUGAAAUCCCUCAGCUUAACUGGGGAACUGCGUCUGAGACUGGAUGGCUCGAGUGCAGGAGAGGAACGCGGAAUUCCAGGUGUAGCGGUGAAAUGCGUAGAUAUCUGGAGGAACACCGGUGGCGAAGGCGGCGUUCUGGACUGCAACUGACACUGAACGACGAAAGCCAGGGGAGCAAACGGGAUUAGAUACCCCCGUAGUCC